rnacentral:siRNA from 1 species
UUUCAACUUCUGGUCGACCAUUC